rnacentral:rRNA from 1 species
UACGGAGGGGGCUAGCGUUGUUCGGAAUUACUGGGCCUAAAGCGCACGUAGGCGGUUCGUUAAGUCAGAGGUGAAAGCCCGGAGCUCAACUCCGGAAUUGCCUUUGAGACUGGCGGACUUGAACGUCGGAGAGGUGAGUGGAAUUCCGAGUGUAGAGGUGAAAUUCGUAGAUAUUCGGAAGAACACCAGUGGCGAAGGCGGCUCACUGGACGACUGUUGACGCUGAGGUGCGAAAGCGUGGGGAGCAAACAGG